GCAGCCCCGGGCAGAGCCCGCCCCGCUCCCGCCCCGCUCCCGCCUCCCCGGCCCGGCGGGACGGAAAACGGGGCAAGGUCUGCGCGGCUCCAGGCCACGGGAGAGCUGGAUUCGUGGCGCCGGUGGGAGGAGAGACAGAGAGCGGGCAUCCUCCCACAUCCCAGGCAGGACACCAGGGUCCUUCCAUCCCACCCCAGCCUUGACUCCCAGCUCAGGCUCCUCUGCAGUCAGACACUCUGGGGAAGCUCCAGGUUGUGGUGACACGAGUGAAGACAGACAAUCAAGAAAACAGAAUGUGAAGUAUUUUUUUUUUUAUAUACAGAAUACAGGAAAGUUUCUGUAAAGUCUAAAACGUUACAAUUACUAUGUACAGUGGAACUAGCUGUUCUGCUGCGGGGAGGUGGCAGAGAAACAAAAGAGACAGACAGGUUACGACAAAGGAUCUGCUACAAUAGACAAUUUGAGGAACGUCAUACCACAUGUAGCACUGUACACAGCUUUAAAACAUUGAAAAAUGCCAUCACUGAUGUAUUUACACAGAAUCCAACACUUUUCCUUAUUUGAAA